UACGAAGGGGGCUAGCGUUGCUCGGAAUUACUGGGCGUAAAGGGCUCGUAGGCGGCCAACUAAGUCGGAUGUGAAAUCCCCAGGCUUAACCUGGGAACUGCAUCCGAUACUGGAUGGCUUGAAUCCGGGAGAGGGAUGCGGAAUUCCAGGUGUAGCGGUGAAAUGCGCAGAUAUCAGGAGGAACACCAGCGGCGAAGGCGCUGCUCUGGGCCGGUACUGACGCUGAGGAGCGAAAGCGUGGGGAGCGAACAGG
rnacentral:rRNA from 1 species